rnacentral:tRNA from 1 species
GGGGAUUUAGCUCAGUGGCAUGAGCGCCUGCCUGGCAAGCACAAAUUUGUGAGUUGAAUCCCCG